CCUACGGGUGGCAGCAGUGGGGGAUAUUGCACAAUGGGGGAAACCCUGAUGCAGCGACGCCGCGUGGGCGAAGAAGGAUUUCGGGAUGUAAACCCCUAUCAGCAGGGAAGAAGAAAUGACGGUACCUGAGUAAGAAGCACCGGCUAAAUACGUGCCAGCAGCCGCGGUAAUACGUAGGGUGCAAGCGUUAUUCGGAUUUACUGGGUGUAAAGGGAGCGUAGGCGGCAGGGCAAGCCUGAAGUGAAAGCACGGGGCGCAACCGCGGGACUGCAUUGGGAACUAUGGGGCUGGAGUGCCGGAGGGGUAGGCGGAAUUCCUAGUGUAGCGGUGAAAUGCGUAGAUAUUAGGAGGAACACCGGUGGCGAAGGCGGCCUACUGGACGGUAACUGACGCUGAGGCUCGAAAGCGUGGGGAGCAAACAGGAUUAGAUACCCGUGUAGUC
rnacentral:rRNA from 1 species